GAUGAAGAACGUAGCGAAAUGCGAUAAGUAAUGUGAAUUGCAGAAUUCAGUGAAUCAUCGAAUCUUUGAACGCACCUUGCGCCCUUUGGCUAUUCCGAAGGGCAUGCCUGUUUGAGUAUCAUGAACACCUCAACUCUUCACGGCUUGCCGUGAUGAGUUUGGACUUUGGGGGUCUUGCUGGCCUACGAGCCAGCUCCUCUCAAAUGUAUUAGCUUGCCGGUGUUUGGUGGCAUCACAGGUGUGAUAACUCUCUACGCUUGUGGUUUUCCACUAGGUAACCUUCAGCAAUGGAGGUUCACCGGAGCUCACAAAUGUCUCUCCUUGCCAAGGACAGAUUUUGACCAUUUGAUCUCAAAUCAGGUAGGACUACCCGCUGAACUUAAGCAUAUCAAUAAGCGGAGGA
rnacentral:misc_RNA from 1 species